UACAGAGGGUGCGAGCGUUAAUCGGAAUUACUGGGCGUAAAGCGUGCGUAGACGGUUAUUUAAGUCGGGUGUGAAAGCCCCGGGCUCAACCUGGGAAUUGCAUUCGAGACUGAAUAGCUAGGGUACGGUAGAGGGAAGUGGAAUUUCCGGUGUAGCGGUGAAAUGCGCGAUAUCAGGAGGAACACCGGUGGCGAAGGCGGUUCUCUGGGCCGUAACUGACGCUGAGGAGCGAAAGCGUGGGGAGCGAACAGG
rnacentral:rRNA from 1 species